UAAUGCUUCCCUUUGCCCCUUUGCAGAUGUCCCGAGCACGCAAAGGUGGAUGGAGUCCGGGCACUAGCCAAACUGUUCAACACGAACCUUGAGGACCUCAACAAAUACAUGGAAAUGCUCAACCUGGAGUUGCCAGAGGACAGCGGUGAGUCUCCCCCCUCUGACAUAGAGAGUGAUACCAGCUGCUCUUCAAGAACAUCUCUGGACUCUUGGCACACCAUCUUCUGCACUACCGUCACAGAGGAUGAAAUCACACAGAUUUCACGGGCACCUACCCCCACUCCUGUGCAGAAAGCAGACUCACGUCAUGGUUCUGCAGUCCAACCUGGCCUCAUGCAUCCCAAGGCUGGCCCUGGGAAGCAGCGUUACCAUGACACUCGCCCACCCUGCAGGAAAGAAGUGGUGAGAUGCCACAGGGCCAGCAGUGUGCAGCAACACGUCCAGGUCCAGCAGGCUGCUCCCACCCAUCUUCCAGCAGUGCCCAAAUUGCAGUCGACGAAAAUGAAGACAUCUUUGCCACAAAAGAAAUCUAAAGAGGCCUUGAUCUACAUCACCCCAAAAAAGAGAAAGGAGCAGAAACUGCGCCUGCCAGCUGAGGGGGAGAAGCCUCCAAGAGAUGACCGAGCCUCUGCUUUGAAAGUAUCGAAGCAAGAAGAAAAGUCUAAUGAGAAGAAGGUUCCCACGGUGUGGGACGUGGCCUUCAUAGACGAGGCUGAGAAAAAUCGGCUGGAGCGUGCAGUGGAAAAACUGUAUAUACAAAAGCAAUUUGGACUGUCAGAGAUGCUGUUGUCCUUCGAGGAGAGCUUUUCAGCCACUGUCCUGGAAGCAAGGACAGCUGUCCCAACCACAGCUCCUCAAUCACCCCAAAAGCAAGCAGAGCCACAUGUGGUGAGUCCUGUGGAGAAGGACCCACCCUGUGCGGAAAAGACUGUGAAUAGUCACCUGGAGGGGCCUAAUGGACAAAAGCAGACCAAAGGGCUGUUCAGGCUACCAAGAAACAGGAAAAGAUCUUCAGACCCCGUCCUGGGACAGAAAGACACCCAGACUGAGGCUCUGCAGAGGAAGGCUCUGCAGAGGAACACCAUGCAGCGCCAGCGCUCACCCAGGCUGCACUUUCAGCAGCACGUUCACACCACAAAGUCGGCAGUGCAGCUGUCAGAGCAGACCCCUGGCCCUCAGCAAGAGGCAGCAGCCCCCAAGGACACAUUGACCAAGGGGAUGAAGGAGCCUG
rnacentral:lncRNA from 1 species